UUAAAAAAAAAAAAGUGUUAUUAACUUAUUAUUGAAACCUAAUAUAAUUUACAAAGUUUCAGUUUUAUGUUCUUGAAAAUUCAUCUCUUACCGGAUGAUAGAGUGUAUGAGGAUUGAAGGAGUGAAGGGAAGAAAGCGAGAUAAUGGUGGAAACUUAAGAAAUGCGGAAGAAGAAACGGCAAAGCAUUUGAUCGGGACAAUCCUCGGGCGAACGCGGAGCGGAGUCUUCGAUAUCGAUAUCGUCUUGCUCGGCACCCAUAUAUCAGUAGUCAGAAUGGAGCCAUAUACAUAGAUAUCUUGAAGGACAAAUGAAGUUCUGCUCUUACUCAGCCUUUCUGUGCAGUCAUUGCUUUCUGCCCCUCAACCAAAUGACCCACAAGAUGCUGUUGUAGCCAACCAGUAUCAGGUAGACGAAUAUCAGACAUUUGUGACCACAGCUCGUCACUGGACAGCCACAUUUACAUUAAAGCCAUCAAAUCUUGUAAUCGAUGAGAAGGUUUUCCUUAUUUCCAUCACUUUAAUUUGUUUCCUUAAAAUGAGUUUGCAUAGAUUAAGAUUUUAAUCCCAGGUGAUCUAUAAGUUAUUUUUAUAAAAUAUUAAUUAAAAAGAAAUAUAAAACAUUUUAAGUUAACAUCAUUUAAUAAAAGUGAUUUUGGAGGGAACUGAAUCUGUGGAGAAUACUUUUCCAUUUUUUUAAAUACCGAAUGGGAAUUAAACAAGACUCCAAAAACUUGGUGAGUUUUUAUUUACACUUGAGUCUUGACUACCCCUUUUAUUAAAGGUAAAUAGAAUUUUAAUUACUUUGAGAUA